rnacentral:rRNA from 1 species
CGCGUAGGCGGCUUUAUAAGUCAGAUGUGAAAUCCCACGGCUUAACUGUGGAAGUGCAUUUGAAACUGUGAGGCUUGAGUAUCGGAGGGGAGUGUGGAAUUCCCGGUGUAGAGGUGAAAUUCGUAGAGAUCGGGAGGAACACCGGUGGCGAAGGCGACACUCUGGACGAAUACUGACGCUGAGGCGCGAAAGCGUGGGGAGCAAACA